GAGUUUGAUCCUGGCUCAGGACGAACGCUGGCGGCGUGCUUAACACAUGCAAGUCGAACGGGAUGAUUUAAGAGCUUGCUUUUAGAGAAUCUAGUGGCAAACGGGUGAGUAACACGUAGACAACCUGCCGACAGGAUGGGGACAACAUUCCGAAAGGAAUGCUAAUACCGAAUGAAGUCAGAGAAGGGCAUCCUUUUCUGAUGAAAGAUGGCCUCUAUUUAUAUUUAAGCUAUCACCUGUCGAUGGGUCUGCGUCUGAUUAGCUGGUUGGUGAGGUAACGGCUCACCAAGGCGACGAUCAGUAGCCGGUCUGAGAGGAUGAACGGCCACAUUGGGACUGAGACACGGCCCAGACUCCUACGGGAGGCAGCAGUGGGGAAUCUUCCGCAAUGGGCGCAAGCCUGACGGAGCAACGCCGCGUGAGUGAAGAAGGUCUUCGGAUCGUAAAGCUCUGUUGAUGGGGACGAACGUGCGAAGGGUGAAUAAUCCUUUGCAAUGACGGUACCUAUCGAGGAAGCCACGGCUAACUACGUGCCAGCAGCCGCGGUAAUACGUAGGUGGCGAGCGUUGUCCGGAAUCAUUGGGCGUAAAGGGAGCACAGGCGGGCAUGUAAGUCUUUCUUAAAAGUUCGGGGCUCAACCCCGUGAUGGGAAAGAAACUACAUGUCUUGAGUACAGGAGAGGAAAGCGGAAUUCCCAGUGUAGCGGUGAAAUGCGUAGAUAUUGGGAGGAACACCAGUGGCGAAAGGCGGCUUUCUGGACUGCAACUGACGCUGAGGCUCGAAAGCCAGGGGAGUGAACGGGAUUAGAUACCCCGGU
rnacentral:rRNA from 1 species